UACGUAGGGUGCAAGCGUUAAUCGGAAUUACUGGGCGUAAAGGGUGCGCAGGCGGCUAUGCAAGACAGAUGUGAAAUCCCCGGGCUUAACCUGGGGACUGCAUUUGUGACUGCAUGGCUAGAGUUUGUCAGAGGAGGGUGGAAUUCCUAGUGUAGCGGUGAAAUGCGUAGAGAUUAGGAGGAAUACCGGUGGCGAAGGCGGCCCCCUGGACAAAGACUGACGCUCAGGUGCGAAAGCGUGGGGAGCAAACAGGAUUAGAUACCCUGGUAGUCCACGCUGUAAACGAUGUCGACUUGGAGGUUGUUCCCUUGAGGAGUGGCUUCCGGAGCUAACGCAUUAAGUAUUCCGCCUGGGGAGUACGGUCGCAAGAUUAAA
rnacentral:rRNA from 1 species